GUGUGUGUGUGUGUGUGUGUCUGUCUGUCUGCAUAUAUAAAAUGAGGUGGAACUUGCAGUAUGCCUCCAAACCAACUCGUUGGAUAUAUAUUCUGAUAAUUUAAAGAGUAGCCCUGAAGGUUUUGCUAAAGAACAGAGCACUCUGUUACAUCUGUUUUGCUAUGGUUUUAUAUUUGUUUCCAUCUUACCUGGACUUUCUUCACUUUCAACAGG
rnacentral:misc_RNA from 1 species